UGGGGAAUCUUGGACAAUGGGGGAAACCCUGAUCCAGCGACGCCGCGUGACCGAUGAAGGCCCUCGGGUCGUAAAGGUCUUUCGGAGGGGACUAUAGUGAAGGUACCCUCAGAAGCAGGAGCGGCUAACUACGUGCCAGCAGCCGCGGUAAUACGUAGGCUCCAAGCGUUGUUCGGAAUUACUGGGCGUAAAGCGAGUGUAGGCGGUCCGCCAAGUCAGCUGUGAAAUCUCCCGGCUCAACCGGGAGGGUGCGGCUGAAACUGACGGACUCGAGUCCGGGAGAGGAGAGUGGAAUUCCUGGUGUAGCGGUGAAAUGCGUAGAUAUCAGGAGGAACAUCGGUGGUGAAGACGGCUCUCUGGACCGGUACUGACGCUGAGACUCGAAAGCGUGGGGAGCAAACAGGAUUAGAUACCCCCGUAGUCC
rnacentral:rRNA from 1 species